rnacentral:rRNA from 1 species
GAUGAACGCUGGCGGCGUGCCUAAUACAUGCAAGUCGAGCGAACAGACGAGGAGCUUGCUCCUCUGAAGUUAGCGGCGGACGGGUGAGUAACACGUGGAUAACCUACCUAUAAGACUGGGAUAACUUCGGGAAACCGGAGCUAAUACCGGAUAACAUGUUGAACCGCAUGGUUCAACAGUGAAAGAUGGUCUUGCUGUCACUUAUAGAUGGAUCCGCGCCGCAUUAGCUAGUUGGUAAGGUAACGGCUUACCAAGGCAACGAUGCGUAGCCGACCUGAGAGGGUGAUCGGCCACACUGGAACUGAGACACGGUCCAGACUCCUACGGGAGGCAGCAGUAGGGAAUCUUCCGCAAUGGGCAAAAGCCUGACGGAGCAACGCCGCGUGAGUGAAGAAGGUCUUCGGAUCGUAAAACUCUGUUAUUAGGGAAGAACAAAUGUGUAAGUAACUAUGCACGUCUUGACGGUACCUAAUCAGAAAGCCACGGCUAACUACGUGCCAGCAGCCGCGGUAAUACGUAGGUGGCAAGCGUUAUCCGGAAUUAUUGGGCGUAAAGCGCGCGUAGGCGGUUUUUUAAGUCUGAUGUGAAAGCCCACGGCUCAACCGUGGAGGGUCAUUAGAAACUGGAAAACUUGAGUGCAGAAGAGGAAAGUGGAAUUCCAUGUGUAGCGGUGAAAUGCGCAGAGAUAUGGAGGAACACCAGUGGCGAAGGCGACUUUCUGGUCUGUAACUGACGCUGAUGUGCGAAAGCGUGGGGAUCGAACAGGAUUAGAUACCCUGGUAGUCCACGCCGUAAACGAUGAGUGCUAAGUGUUAGGGGGUUUCCGCCCCUUAGUGCUGCAGCUAACGCAUUAAGCACUCCGCCUGGGGAGUACGACCGCAAGGUUGAAACUCAAAGGAAUUGACGGGGACCCGCACAAGCGGUGGAGCAUGUGGUUUAAUUCGAAGCAACGCGAAGAACCUUACCAAAUCUUGACAUCCUCUGACCCCUCUAGAGAUAGAGUUUUCCCCUUCGGGGGACAGAGUGACAGGUGGUGCAUGGUUGUCGUCAGCUCGUGUCGUGAGAUGUUGGGUUAAGUCCCGCAACGAGCGCAACCCUUAAGCUUAGUUGCCAUCAUUAAGUUGGGCACUCUAAGUUGACUGCCGGUGACAAACCGGAGGAAGGUGGGGAUGACGUCAAAUCAUCAUGCCCCUUAUGAUUUGGGCUACACACGUGCUACAAUGGACAAUACAAAGGGUAGCGAAACCGCGAGGUCAAGCAAAUCCCAUAAAGUUGUUCUCAGUUCGGAUUGUAGUCUGCAACUCGACUACAUAAAGCUGGAAUCGCUAGUAAUCGUAGAUCAGCAUGCUACGGUGAAUACGUUCCCGGGUCUUGUACACACCGCCCGUCACACCAUGGGAGUCUGCAAUGCCCAAAGCCGGUGGCCUAACCUUCGGGAAGGAGCCGUCUAAGGCAGGGCAGAUGACUGGGGUGAAGUCGUAACAAGGUAGCCGUA